AGGACGAACGCUGGCGGCGUGCUUAACACAUGCAAGUCGAGCGAGAGCCAGUUGAGGGGUAACCCUCGACUGGGGACAGCGGCGAACGGGUGCGUAACACGUGGGCAACCUGCCCCUGACACUGGGAUAACCCCGGGAAACCGGAGCUAAUACCGGAUACUCUCGGCCGAUCACAUGGCUGGCCGAGGAAAGGUCCGCCGGUCAGGGAUGGGCCCGCGGCCUAUCAGCUUGUUGGUGGGGUAACGGCCUACCAAGGCGACGACGGGUAGCUGGUCUGAGAGGACGACCAGCCACACUGGAACUGAGAUACGGUCCAGACUCCUACGGGAGGCAGCAGUGGGGAAUAUUGCACAAUGGGCGAAAGCCUGAUGCAGCGACGCCGCGUGAGGGAUGAAGGCCUUCGGGUCGUAAACCUCUUUCGGCAGGGACGAAGCGAUCAGUGACGGUACCUGGCAGAAGAAGCCCCGGCUAACUACGUGCCAGCAGCCGC
rnacentral:rRNA from 1 species